UCAAGCUCUCCUCUGUUCGUUAACACACCGGUGUUAGGGUCGAUGGUGAAGUUAUCACUGAACUGGCUUGAUCUCUGACUGUCAUGUUGAUGAAAACAGAGCCCAACGAGUGUUCAAGAACCUCUGCUGUGAAGUGGCUCUCCCUCACACAGGAGAGCUCGUCUUCCUCAUCUCCACACUUGUAAAACUCUGUCACAGGAGGGGCGAUGAAGCAAUGAAGCCUUUUCAAGAUGCUGCCCCCAUGCUGAGCAUCACUCCCUUGGUGCCUUGCCAAGACACUUCCAUUCGACCUUGUGCUCCACCUUUUUUUCAUUAGAGAAGCCGACAUCUGAUGACUGUACCUCCUGUCUCUUGAAUGUGUUCUUCGAGGUUACAGGACACUCCUAAAAUGGGUCUACUUUUCAGCUUCAUUUUGAUGCAAAACACAGCUGUUCUCUGUGCCGUAUGGAUCUAUAUGGGCU